rnacentral:lncRNA from 1 species
UCUUCUCCAUAUUUCGAAACUAUCACAGUCUCUCUAUACGUCGGCACACUCCCGAAGCACUAUAUAAAUCCUCCGUCGUCUUUGCCACCGAAAAUUUCAGUCACAGUCCAUGCGUCUCGCCAUAUCACAGGUAUAUCCGCAGAAUCGCAUUCCAUAUGUGUUGCUACCAUAAUUUCGAUUUGAGAUCUCCUUCUUGAUCCUAUACUUCUAAUUUCAAACAUUCACGAAACAACAAUUGAAACAUGAUAGAAUUAGUUCUUAUGUUUUUGAAAUAAGUAUGAUCAUCGAAAGAUAUAUACAGUUGUUACUCUUCAAAUUCAUCAAUGCUUAAAUUAUCACUUAACGAACAAGUGAUUAACACAUCACUUUGUAGUCUUCAGAGGUAAAAACGCGUUUCUCCUUCUGCUACGCGUUCACGCCUAUUUGCUUCUGCGACAGCCGACAGCCUCUCAGCCGCACGCCUGCCUCCUCCCUCCGCCCUCAGCCGCACGUCUCCCUGUAAGUUUCUCGAUCUUCUUUACUAAGUAUUUUAUAUUUUGUGCUGAUAUAGAAUUUGAUGUUGUCUGUUUUAUUCUUCUACUACAAAACUUGAGUGACUUGUAAGUUUAUGUCGCUGACUUUCUGUAAUCUGCAACAUGUUUGGCAUUUUCCAGUUUGAGUUUUUGUAACUUCUAAUAUAGAUAUGUGUUCAUUGCAUUACUCCUAACAAAGUUAUUCUAGAAAGGGGGUUUAAUGUAUAGAAUUCAAGGAACUAUGGUAAAUAUGCACCAUUACAUGGACAAAGUACAUUGUGUUAUGUUCUAACAAUUUAUUACACAAAGUGAACUGUAUUAUGUUGCAUUGAUUGUUAUGCAAUUCUUGUAAUUUGUUAUGAAGUAUUGAAGUUAGUAUGUUUGUAGUAUGAAGUUGUAAUAUGUUUGAAAAUAAAUCCUUGUAAAUACGUUCAUGUAAUAUGUUUGAAGAAAGACAAUUACAUUCAUAGACAUUUACAUUAGUUUAAAGGGAUAAUGGCCAAUUUAUGCAAUUCAUUUACAUGUUAAUACCAAAUUUAUGAACAAAAUGUAUUUCUUACCAAUUUAUGCAACUGUUUUUACCAUCUUUAACCAAUUUAUACAUGUAUAAAUCGAUCCUUAUUCACUAACAAAUUGCAACCUGUCUGCAUAAAUUGGUAAGAAAUUCACUUCAUUUGCUUGAUUUGGUAAAAACAUGUUCAUUCCAUAAACAAUUCAUUAACCCUAGUCUGAAAAACUGAGCCCAACCAUUUCUACAGUAUCAAACUUUUACACAUUAUGCUUCUUUUAUCCUUUUUCAGUCAUGAUUUGGAAGAACUGGAUCCAUUUCUACUGCAAUUGUAAGUAACAAC